GACCUGGUGGCCUAAUAGUUAGUGGGUUGGACUCCGGAUCGAGCGGUCUGGGUUCGAGUGCUGGCCUGGGUCA